GGGGGUGAAAUGGUUUCGACGGGGACGUUGUGCGUUAAGGAAGCGAGCCGUGGCCCCGAACCACGAUAAAAGCGGGAAAGAUAUAACUGCGAACAACGAGUAUUCGGCUCUGCCGAUGGCGGCCUAAGGCCGCCCGUCGGCUCUCAAGCGCCUACGGCUUGGGAAGUCCGGCGUCAUUGAUGUAGGGAACUAGCCCGCGUAAGCUUUGCCGCGAGGCUAUCAAUAUGAAGCUACCCGGUUCUUGAUCCUGCUUAUGGGAGCUUGAGCGGGGAAAUCAAACCAUAAGCUGCGCUCGGAGACGCCUUUACGUUCAAGUUUUCGGACAGGGGUUCGACUCCCCUCACCUCCACCA
rnacentral:tmRNA from 1 species